CUGGGUGUAAAGGGUGCGUAGGCGGCUCUGCAAGUCAGGCGUGAAAUACAUGGGCUUAACCCAUGGACUGCGUUUGAAACUGUGGAGCUUGAGUGAAGUAGAGGUAGGCGGAAUUCCCGGUGUAGCGGUGAAAUGCGUAGAGAUCGGGAGGAACACCAGUGGCGAAGGCGGCCUACUGGGCUUUAACUGACGCUGAAGCACGAAAGCAUGGGUAGCAAACAGGAUUAGAUACCCUGGUAGUCCAUGCCGUAAACGAUGAUUACUAGGUGUGGGGGGUCUGACCCCUUCCGUGCCGGAGUUAACACAAUAAGUAAUCCACCUGGGGAGUACGGCCGCAAGGUUGAAACUCAAAGGAAUUGACGGGGGCCCGCACAAGCAGUGGAGUAUGUGGUUUAAUUCGAAGCAACGCGAAGAACCUUACCAGGUCUUGACAUCCAACUAACGAAGCAGAGAUGCAUUAGGUGCCCUUCGGGGAAAGUUGAGACAGGUGGUGCAUGGUUGUCGUCAGCUCGUGUCGUGAGAUGUUGGGUUAAGUCCCGCAACGAGCGCAACCCUUGUGAUUAGUUGCUACGCAAGAGCACUCUAAUCAGACUGCCGUUGACAAAACGGAGGAAGGUGGGGACGACGUC
rnacentral:rRNA from 1 species